rnacentral:piRNA from 1 species
UGAAAUGAGAGGAUCCCCUGUUGUUC